rnacentral:rRNA from 1 species
UACGUAGGGAGCAAGCGUUGUCCGGAAUCAUUGGGCGUAAAGCGCGUGUAGGCGGCCCGGUAAGUCCGCUGUAAAAGUCCAGGGCUCAACCCUGGAAAGCCGGUGGAUACUGUCGGGCUCGAGUCCGGAAGAGGCGAGUGGAAUUCCUGGUGUAGCGGUGAAAUGCGCAGAUAUCAGGAGGAACACCGAUGGCGAAGGCAGCUCGCUGGGACGGUACUGACGCUGAGACGCGAAAGCGUGGGGAGCAAACAGG